CCAGCCAAGAUCAGAGUUAACCGAGACAUAUAUGGUGGAUAAAAAGCUCUUAAAAAUAUGGGUGUUCCGAGGAUAGUAUACCACUAGGGAAUGUGGGUUACAUUAGUAAUGGAGGAAUAUUUUGAGAGCAGACGAAACUAAAGUGUUGCCACGGUGACGGUGGUGGUGGGCAUGAUACAGAUGCGGGAGGUGGAGUUUGUGCCCGAUAGAGACAUGCAGCUGGACAAAUUGUGUUGGUCAUUGGUCAGACUGGAGUUUACAUGUGUACCUCCUUCACCAUCAUUGGUGGACACUUCACCAUGAGUGAUGCUUGAGCUGUCACGGUGCUGCUGCUGCUGUCUGCCAUCAUCACCCUGACACAGACCACCCUGCAGACCACCUUCAUCCUGGGUGCCACACGUCACUGCUGCUACAACUCAGAGCAACUGGAGCGCAAGCCAGGAAGGGAGAUGGUUACCUUCUUGUUGAUGUGCAAUCUUGCUAUGUGGGCGAUGAACACCUCUGAGACAUCACGAGCAGAUGCCCAUCCAGCACAGCUCAACUUGUAUGGAAUCUGGACCUGGACCAUCAUAUCAAUGCCACUGGCUUUGAUAUGUGUUUGAUAUGGCUUCUAUUGCUUUCAAGUGACCAUCUGCCUCUGUGAAAUAUGGAAGAUCUUACAAGCUCAAGCAUGAGUAUUAAGCAAGUUAUAGGAAUGCUAGUAUGAGUGUGGUGUGUCUGAAUUAGCUGUCAGAGUAUUGUAAAUAUUAUUACUUAGUCUUCCCAGUUAUGAAAUUAAGAACAGUUGUGAAGUUUGCUUUAAAACCCUUCAUUAACUUUGCCACAAAACACUUUUACAUGUUAUCAAAAGUGUGUAACUGUUAUGAUGUGUGCAUAUAUAUCAUUACUACAGAAGAAUCUGGAAUUUCCCCUCAGAUUACUUUAAUGAAUGAAGCUUGAGUUCACAGAUGUGUGGUUUGUAAAUUUCACCUGUAUUCUCUCCUCUAUGGCAGUCUGUUCUGGCAAAGUUUCAUUUGUCAAAAGCAUUACAGUUUGUAAAUGAUGUGUCUUCAUAUGCCUUCACUAGCAAUUAUGAAUUACAUUGUGGUCAUGGAUUUUGUUCUUUUAAUACAGUUGCCUCAAGAUAUUCUGAGCUUUACAAUGCUGUCUUUAGUACACUGCAAGAAAAUACAGAAAUUUCAUGUGGCAACAUUUAUUUUUAAAACAUUAUUUAUUACUUUUAAAAAUAGCAAUGUGGGGCUUCCUUAAUGCAAAUAGUCUUGCCCCAAAAAACUUGUGAUGUCAAACACUAACUUCUCUUAACACAGCACAACCAAAACCACUCAAAAUUAUACAUUAAUUUUUUUUAUAGAGCAACAUGUGUGGAAAGUGCUACCAGAAAUAUUUGCAUAACAAAUAUUUGGUUCUGGACCUUAGCACUUAUACAGUACUGCACUAACUUACACACAAGGUUAAUUAAUGAUGUAA